CCCUUAGAUGUUCUGGGCCGCACGCGCGCUACACUGACGAAUGCAACGAGCUUAUAACCUUGGCCGAAAGGUCUGGGUAAUCUCCAAAUUUCGUCGUGAUGGGGAUAGAUUAUUGCAAUUAUUAAUCUUCAACGAGGAAUGCCUAGUAGGCGCAAGUCAUCAGCUUGCGUUGAUUACGUCCCUGCCCUUUGUACACACCGCCCGUCGCUCCUACCGAUUGAAUGGUCCGGUGAAGCGCUCGGACCGCGGCCUCUUGACGGUUCGCUGUCGAUUGGCUGUGGGAAGUUCGUUAAACCUUAUCAUUUAGAGGAAGGAGAAGUCGUAACA
rnacentral:rRNA from 1 species